ACGCUGUGGAAAGAAAGAACGGCACAGC
rnacentral:piRNA from 1 species